rnacentral:lncRNA from 1 species
GUCAAAAAUAGCCGAGUUAUAUGGCUCUUCAUCCCUUUUCAUGUUUGGAACACCACCUACAUAAAAUAUUUACAAAUAUCAUGAUGACAAAAGCUUUAGUUGUAUGGAGAACAAGUAUUUUGUGGUUCAAACCUUGUCUGAUUUUAAUAUUUGUAUUGAGAAAAUAUUUCCUAUCACCAUUGUUCUUUAUGGAAGCUAAAGGUUGUGGUUGCUGCUGAACUUGCAUUUGACGUUCGAAUUUUUUAGCAAGUGUCCCAUCGUGCUUAUGGUCUACAUUUUGCUCCCUCAUAACAAUACUGUUACCAGCUGCUUGGGUUCUUUUUCUCUGUCGAUAUUAUCGUUGGUACUCAUAAUUCCUUGUGCAUAGUUCCUCUUUCUUCAAAUCAAUUGUCUCUAAAGUUCCAAUGCCAACAUUCUGGUUAAGAUUCUGCUCCCUCGUAUUUUCACCGGCUGCUUUGUUUCUUUUUUCUCUUGAUAUCGUCGUUGGUACUCACGAUUCAUUGCGCGUAGUUCCUCUUUGUUCUGAUCAAUGGCCAUCAAUACUGCAUAUGACAAAAGCUUUAGUUGUAUGGAGAACAAGUAUUUUGUGGUUCAAACCUUGUCUGAUUUUAAUAUUUGUAUUGAGAAAAUAUUUCCUAUCACCAUUGUUCUUUAUUGAAGCUAAAGGUUGUGGUUGCUGCUGAACUUGCAUUUGACGUUCCGAUUUUUUAGCAAGUGUCCCAUCGUGCUUAUGGUCUACAUUUUGCUCCCUCAUAAUAAUACUGUUACCAGCUGCUUGGGUUCUUUUUCUCUGUCGAUAUUAUCGUUGGUACUCACAAUUCCUUGUGCAUAGUUCCUCUUUCUUCAAAUCAAUUGUCCCUAAAGUUCCAAUGCCAACAACCUGGUUAAGAUUCUGCUCCCUCGUAUUUUCACCGGCUGCUUUGUUUCUUUUUUCUCUUGAUAUCGUCGUUGGUACUCACGAUUCAUUGCGCGUAGUUCCUCUUUGUUCUGAUCAAUGGCCAUCAAUACUGCAUAUGACAAAAGCUUUAGUUGUAUGGAGAACAAGUAUUUUGUGGUUCAAACCUUGUCUGAUUUUAAUAUUUGUAUUGAGAAAAUAUUUCCUAUCACCAUUGUUCUUUAUGGAAGCUAAAGGUUGUGGUUGCUGCUGAACUUGCAUUUGAUGUUCGAAUUUUUUAGCAAGUGUCCCAUCGUGCUUAUGGU